GUGAGGAAUCUUCCACAAUGGGCGAAAGCCUGAUGGAGCAACGCCGCGUGAAGGAUGAAGGUCUUCGGAUUGUAAACUUCUUUUAUGAGUGAAGAAUAUGACGGUAACUCAUGAAUAAGCACCGGCUAACUACGUGCCAGCAGCCGCGGUCAUACGUAGGGUGCAAGCAUUAUCCGGAGUGACUGGGCGUAAAGAGUUGCGUAGGCGGUUAUGUAAGCGAAUAGUGAAACCUGGUGGCUCAACCACACAGACUAUUAUUCGAACUGCAUAACUCGAGAAUGGUAGAGGUAACUGGAAUUUCUUGUGUAGGAGUGAAAUCCGUAGCUAUAAGAAGGAACACCAAUGGCGUAGGCAGGUUACUGGGCCAUUUCUGACGCUAAGGCACGAAAGCGUGGGGAGCGAACCGGAUUAGAUACCCCGGUAGUCC
rnacentral:rRNA from 1 species